rnacentral:rRNA from 1 species
GAUGAACGCUGGCGGCGUGCCUAAUACAUGCAAGUCGAGCGAAUGGAUUAAGAGCUUGCUCUUAUGAAGUUAGCGGCGGACGGGUGAGUAACACGUGGGUAACCUGCCCAUAAGCCCGGGAUAACUCCGGGAAACCGGGGCUAAUACCGUAUAAUAUUUUGAACUGCAUGGUUCAAAAUUGAAAGGCGGCUUCGGCUGUCACUGAUGGAUGGACCCGCGUCGCAUUAGCUAGUUGGUGAGGUAACGGCUAACCAAGGCAACGAUGCGUAGCCGACCUGGGAGGGUGAUCGGCCACACUGGGACUGAGACACGGCCCAGACUCCUGCGGGAGGCAGCAGUAGGGAAUCUUCCGCAAUGGACGAAAGUCUGACGGAGCAACGCCGCGUGAGUGAUGAAGGCUUUCGGGUCGUAAAACUCUGUUGUUAGGGAAGAACAAGUGCUAGUUGAAUAAGCUGGCACCUUGACGGUACCUAACCAGAAAGCCACGGCUAACUACGUGCCAGCCGCCGCCGUAA